UUGAGUGGCGGACGGGUGAGUAACGCGUGGGUAACCUACCCUGUACAGGGGGAUAACAGUCAGAAAUGACUGCUAAUACCGCAUAAGACCACAGCACCGCAUGGUGCAGGGGUAAAAACUCCGGUGGUACAGGAUGGACCCGCGUCUGAUUAGCUGGUUGGUGAGGUAACGGCUCACCAAGGCGACGAUCAGUAGCCGGCUUGAGAGGGUGAACGGCCACAUUGGGACUGAGACACGGCCCAAACUCCUACGGGAGGCAGCAUG
rnacentral:rRNA from 1 species